AUUGAACGCUGGCGGAAUGCUUUACACAUGCAAGUCGAACGGCAGCACGGACUUCGGUCUGGUGGCGAGUGGCGAACGGGUGAGUAAUGCAUCGGAACAUGCCUAGUCGUGGAGGAUAACGUAGCGAAAGUUACGCUAAUACCGCAUACGUCCUGAGGGAGAAAGCGGGGGACCGAAAGGCCUCGUGCGAUUAGAGUGGCCGAUGUCAGAUUAGCCAGUUGGUGGGGUAAAGGCCUACGAAGGCGACGAUCUGUAGCGGGUCUGAGGGGAUGGUCCGCCACACGGGGACUGAGACACGGCCCAGACUCCUACGGGAGGCAGCAGUGGGGAAUGUUGGACAAUGGGGGCAACCCUGAUCCAGCCAUUCCGCGUGCGGGAAGAAGGCCUUCGGGUUGUAAACCGCUUUCGGACAGAAAGAAAUCGCCAUUCCUAAUACGAGUGGUGGAUGACGGUACUGUAAGAAGAAGCACCGGCUAACUACGUGCCAGCCGCCGCCGUAACAC
rnacentral:rRNA from 1 species